CUUGCGACAAUAUCACAUUGCAACACCAAUUCCCGUACAAUCACUGCAGUUAAGCAACGUCGAACCUGGCCAGUAUCUAGAUGGGUGACCGCUAGGGAAUACUAGAUGCUGUAAG